GGCUCUCUGAUCUACUAAUAUAGAGAGUCCGGCCUGCCCAGUGAUUUUUUAACGGCCGCAGUAUCUUAACUGUGCUAAGGUAGCAUAAUAAUUUGUCCUAUAAUUGAGGACUGGAAUGAAUGGUCUCACAAGAGCAAAGCUGUCUCUUUCUAAUUAAAUAGAAUUUUACUUUCAGAUGAAGAGGUCUGAAUUAAAUUAAAAGACAAGAAGACCCUAUCGAGCUUUAAAAAAAUUAAUAAAAUUUAUUUAUACUUGUAAAAAAAAAUUAUUAAACAUUUUGGUUGGGGCGACUAAGGAACACAGAAAGCUUCUUUAAUUUAUAAAAACAUAACUUGUUUUGAUCCAAAAAUAAUGAUUAAUGAAAUUAGUUACCGUAGGGAUAACAGCAUUAUCUUUUUUGAGAGCUCUAAUCGAAAAAAAGGUUUGUGACCUCGAUGUUGGACCAGAAUAUCCUAAAGGUGCAGAAGUCUUUAAGGGUUGGUCUGUUCGACCAUUAAAAUUCU
rnacentral:rRNA from 1 species